GAUGAACGCUGGCGGCGUGCCUAAUACAUGCAAGUCGAGCGAACGGACGAGAAGCUUGCUUCUCUGAUGUUAGCGGCGGACGGGUGAGUAACACGUGGAUAACCUACCUAUAAGACUGGGAUAACUUCGGGAAACCGGAGCUAAUACCGGAUAAUAUUUUGAACCGCAUGGUUCAAAAGUGAAAGACGGUCUUGCUGUCACUUAUAGAUGGAUCUGCGCUGCAUUAGCUAGUUGGUAAGGUAACGGCUUACCAAGGCAACGAUGCAUAGCCGACCUGAGAGGGGGAUCGCCCACACGGGAACUGAGACACGGUCCAGACUCCUACGGGAGGCAGCAGUAGGGAAUCUUCCGCAAUGGGCGAAAGCCUGACGGAGCGAGGCCGCGUGAGUGAUGAAAGUCUUCGGAUCGUAAAACGCUGUUAUUAGUGAAGAACAUAUGUGUAAGUAACUGUGCACAUCUUGACGGUACCUAAUCAGAAAGCCACGGCUAACUACGUG
rnacentral:rRNA from 1 species